GAUGAACGCUGGCGGCGUGCCUAAUACAUGCAAGUCGAGCGAACAGACGAGGAGCUUGCUCCUCUGACGUUAGCGGCGGACGGGUGAGUAACACGUGGAUAACCUACCUAUAAGACUGGGAUAACUUCGGGAAACCGGAGCUAAUACCGGAUAAUAUAUUGAACCGCAUGGUUCAAUAGUGAAAGACGGUUUUGCUGUCACUUAUAGAUGGAUCCGCGCCGCAUUAGCUAGUUGGUAAGGUAACGGCUUACCAAGGCAACGAUGCGUAGCCGACCUGAGAGGGUGAUCGGCCACACUGGAACUGAGACACGGACCAGACUCCUACGGGAGGCAGCAGUAGGGAAUCUUCCGCAAUGGGCGAAAGCCUGACGGAGCAACGCCGCGUGAGUGAUGAAGGUCUUCGGAUCGUAAAACUCUGUUAUUAGGGAAGAACAAAUGUGUAAGUAACUAUGCACGUCUUGACGGUACCUAAUCAGAAAGCCACGGCUAACUACGU
rnacentral:rRNA from 1 species